UACAGAGGGUGCGAGCGUUGUUCGGAAUUAUUGGGCGUAAAGGGCGCGUAGGCGGUGCGGUAAGUCACCUGUGAAAUCUCCUGGCUCAACUGGGAGCUUGCAGGCGAAACUGCCGUGCUGGAGUGUGGGAGAGGUGCGUGGAAUUCCCGGUGUAGCGGUGAAAUGCGUAGAUAUCGAGAGGAACACCUGCGGCGAAGGCGGGUAGCUGGGCCGACACUGACGCUGAUGCGCGAAAGCCAGGGGAGCGAACGGG
rnacentral:rRNA from 1 species